rnacentral:misc_RNA from 1 species
CUCCAAAAUUCUGCGAAUCUGUGUACUUAUUCCCUUGGCCUGGGCUUGGACCUGAUUGCUUAAUGGCACCAAGAGAUAACCCAUCAAAGAAACUUUUGUCCCAAAUCAUUGCACGAUUGGAUUCCAUGAUAUUGAGUGGCCUAGCUUCUGUUUUUGAUGGGCGAAACAAGACAAGGACAAGGACAAGGACAACAAGAAGCAAGAAGCUCAAGUGCUUGAGGCCUCUACCCAUGUUCGAUCUUUUUGAUGUAUAUAUAUCUAAAGAACUUUAAUAGAAAACUAGUAAAUAUGUAUAACAGUGAGAGAGAGAG